rnacentral:ribozyme from 1 species
AAGAAAGCCGAAACGAAUCUUUUUUUGUUUUCGUUUUGUUUUGUUUUUAAGUAAAACCCGGGAAAAAGGAAGAAAAACCCAUCCAUGACGAUCUUUUCUUUUUCUUCU